UUAUUAAAACACCAUAACUAUAUUAAUAUUGUACUUAAUGGUGAGAGAAGAUUAUCAUGGCCUCUGUGCAAGGAUGACACACAAGUUUGAGAAGUGUCCCAUAUUUUA